CCCUUUUCCUCUUUUAUAGCAAGAGACUUUCCUCCCCACACACUCUUCUCUGAGAGGGACCCAGGAGCCCACAGCUGGAAGAGACCCUGCUCAUUUCCUCACACAUCUCAGUGCCUUACACUCAGGACCACCAUGUGCUAUGGGAAGCAAACGAUUUCAUCAUUUGAAGAUUUCAAGGAUUUAAUGCACCAGAGAACAGACUGUUACAUAGAUCGCAUUAAACAUGUGGUAAGUCAGGAUGGAGAUUCAAUAGACCUAGAAGAUAUUCAUAAUUUAGCCUAUCAGGAGCAGGGAGAGAGAGAGAGAGAGAGAGAGAGAGAAGAAGAAGAGAAGGAGGAAGAAG